GAAGAAGCAUUGCUAAGGAACUCGGCAAAAUGACCCUGUAACUUCGGGAGAAAGGGUGCCUCGAAAGAGGCCGCAGAGAAUAGGCCCAAGCAACUGUUUAGCAAAAACACAGGUCUAUGCAAAACCGCAAGGUGAAGUAUAUGGGCUGACGCCUGCCCGGUGCUGGAAGGUUAAGGGGAGAUGUCAGGAGACGAAGCAUCGAACUUAAGCUCCAGUAAACGGCGGCCGUAACAAUAACGGUCCUAAGGUAGCGAAAUUCCUUGUCGGGUAAGUUCCGACCCGCACGAAAGGCGUAAUGAUUUGGGCGCUGUCUCGGCAAUGCAUCCGGUGAAAUUGAAGUGCCAGUGAAGAUGCUGGCUACCCGCGCCAGGACGGAAAGACCCCAUGGAGCUUUACUCCAGCUUGAUACUGGGAUCCGGUAUUGUAUGUACAGGAUAGGUGGGAGGCUGAGAAAUGGUGACGCCAGUCGCCAUGGAGCCGCUGUUGGGAUACCACCCUUGCAGUACUGGGUUUCUAACCAGCAGCCGUAAACCGGCUGGGGGACAAUGUCAGGUGGGGAGUUUGACUGGGGCGGUCGCCUCCGAAAGGGUAUCGGAGGCGCUCAAAGGUUCCCUCAGAAUGGUCGGAAACCAUUCGAAGAGUGCAAAGGCAGAAGGGAGCUUGACUGCGACACCGACGGGUGGGGCAGGUACGAAAGUAGGACUUAGUGAUCCGGUGGUAUUAAGUGGGAAUGCCAUCGCUCAACGGAUAAAAGCUACCCUGGGAUAACAGGCUUAUCACUCCCAAGAGUUCACAUCGACGGAGUGGUUUGGCACCUCGAUGUCGGCUCAUCGCAUCCUGGGGCUGUAGUAGGUCCCAAGGGUUGGGCUGUUCGCCCAUUAAAGCGGUACGCGAGCUGGGUUCAGAACGUCGUGAGACAGUUCGGUCCCUAUCCGGCGUGGGCGCAGGAUAUUUGAGAGGAGCUGACCUUAGUACGAGAGGACCGGGUUGGACUGACCUCUGGUGCACCGGUUGUCAUGCCAAUGGCACAGCCGGGUAGCCAAGUCGGGAAGGGAUAAACGCUGAAGGCAUCUAAGCGUGAAGCCCCCCUCAAGAUGAGAUAUCCCCCGCAUAAGCGGUAAGACCCCUUGAAGACGACGAGGUAGAUAGGGCAGAGGUGGAAGUGCAGUAAUGUAUGGAGCUGACUGCUACUAAUAGGUCGAAGGCUUAAU
rnacentral:rRNA from 1 species